GUGAUAAACUUGAUGUCAUUUCUGAGAUGAGAUCUUCAUUGUAACAGAGAACUUGUUUUAAACUAAUCAUGGAAUAAUGUUUAGUAUGUGCUAGAAGAUAAAUCUGAGCAGCUUUUGGGAUCCUAGCGUGGAAAAGCCCCAAAGGUUAAAAAUUCAAAAAUAAAGCAUGGUCAUUUCUGUUUCUAAGUUACUGCCAUGGAUGUCUCAAAGAUGCUGAAUUCAAUUGCCCAGGAAAUCUUAUCGAGAUGAUAUUUAGAAUGUCAAAAGAUGCACUCAGAAAGAUAAGGAGGACUUAACAAGCACUAUCAAUCACCUGCUAACAGCUGUAAGCCCAGCUGAUAUUAGAAGGUUCUGCAGGAGGAGCUAAUGAAGGUUUAUGUCCAUGCAGUUAUCAAGGAUUGCUCCCAAAAGCUUUGAGGACAGCUUCUUCCUCCUGGUCUGACACUGUGUCUCUGUCAAGAGCAGCCUGAGCCUGUCCCAUGCCAGCUGCCUGCUUUCAAUUUAUGUGGAGAUAUUCUUUAUUCUUUUUCCUCCUGACCUCCAUGACCCUAUUUGUGCUACUGCAAAAAGAAGGAUGAUUGUCUAGCAUCCAUGAAUCACCUCAACUUGAUAUUUUCAGACUGUUUAAAACCUCAGCCAUCACUACUGACUAUGUGCAUCUCUCUCCUGCCAUGGAGAAAACACUAUUUCACUACAUUAAGAGUUUUCAUUUAUUGGCUUAUAUUAUGCAGUACACUUCUUUAUAAUGGUAUAAAUUUUUAUCAAAACUUUUAUUUUUUAUUCUGAAUAGUAGUCCACCCCAAACUGCUUUACAAAUUAAUCUGGGAAGAAACAUAGUGCCAUGUGCAUCUGAUAUAAUCAUAACCACAAAUCUCAAAGGCAUUAAUGAAAGUCAGGAUAUUUAAAUAUCUUGUGUACUUACUGGAAAACCUUGGAAAACCACUGCCUUCAAAGUAGAGUUAACAUGUUUUAAAUAUUGGAAAUAGGAUUGCAUUCUUGUUUUAGAAAUAAGCCUUGAUGAGGGAAACAUGGAAUUCCCAUCUCAGAGGGACAGAAAAAUAAGACUGGGAUGCAGUUUCCCAGGGGGUUGGAUGCAGCAGCUGCCUGCAGAGGAGGUCAUCCUCCUUCACCCCCAGCCAUGCACCCUGUCUGACCCCGGGGUCACUUCCAGAACUGAGUGGCUUGCUGUCACUUGUGAUAUUCCUGUGAUCCUGGCUAUCCUAGAGCCAUGCAAUGCUGAGAUCUGUUUCCCAGUGGAGGCAGGAAGGUGUGGUUGGCUGUGGAAGGAAAGAUCUCCUCUAUAAGGCCAGUUUAAGAAUUCAACUGUCCUUACUUCUCAUUCUGUUUCA